GACGAACGCUGGCGGCGUGCUUAACACAUGCAAGUCGAACGGAAAGGCCCUGCUUUUGUGGGGUGCUCGAGUGGCGAACGGGUGAGUAACACGUGAGUAACCUGCCCCUGACUGUGGGAUAACUUCAGGAAACUGGGGCUAAUACCGGCUAGGAGCUCCUGCUGCUUGGUGGGGGUUGGAAAGUUUCGGCGGUUGGGGAGGGACUCGCGGUUGAUCAGCUUGUUGGUAGGGUAGUGGCCUACCAAGGCCUCGACGCAUAGCCGGGCUGAGAGGGUGAUCCGUCACGCUUGGGCUGCGACACGGACUAGACUCCUACGGGAGGCAGCAGUGGGUAAUAUUGGACAAUGGGCGAUAGUCUGAUCCAGCAAUGCCGGGUGAGUGAUCAAUGCCGUAGUGUUGCAAAGCUCUUUUACCCGGGAUGAUAAUGACAGUACCGGGAGAAUAAGCUCCGGCUAACUCCGUG
rnacentral:rRNA from 1 species